rnacentral:rRNA from 1 species
CCUACGGGAGGCAGCAGUGAGGAAUAUUGGUCAAUGGACGAGAGUCUGAACCAGCCAAGUAGCGUGAAGGAUGACUGCCCUAUGGGUUGUAAACUUCUUUUAUAUGGGAAUAAAAUGUUCCACGUGUGGGAUUUUGUAUGUACUAUAUGAAUAAGGAUCGGCUAACUCCGUGCCAGCAGCCGCGGUAAUACGGAGGAUCCGAGCGUUAUCCGGAUUUAUUGGGUUUAAAGGGAGCGUAGGUGGAUUGUUAAGUCAGUUGUGAAAGUUUGCGGCUCAACCGUAAAAUUGCAGUUGAAACUGGCAGUCUUGAGUACAGUAGAGGUAGGCGGAAUUCGUGGUGUAGCGGUGAAAUGCUUAGAUAUCACGAAGAACUCCGAUUGCGAAGGCAGUUCACUAGACUGCAACUGACACUGAGGCUCGAAAGUGUGGGUAUCAAACAGGAUUAGAUACCCUUGUAGUC